UUUGAUGUCAUCUCCCAUGGUCGCAUUGGUGGAGAGGGAGCUGGUGAUGCUGACGUGUAAUCGAAGACUGAGUGAGACAGGCGCUGUCUCUUGGGGCUCGGACUGUCUUCACUCUGCCAACAAAACCAACCAACAGGGAAGUUUUGGAAGAUAAUGCAAACCUUCUGCAAAGCAGAACCAGGUUCCAAGUUCCAGAUUUAAAAUGGUGAUUUAAAUGGGCCUCCGACUUCAGCAACCACUAGUGAGCCCUGAGGACUUCCUUCUCAAAGGAACAAGGGGGCAACUAGAAUCAAGAGGUAAAAUUUCCAGAAACCUGGUCCCCUCUCCACCUGGACCUUAUUUAGGACCACCACUCAUCUCAGACUCACAAACUAGGGAAAUUAUGUUAGACAAAAAGCAAAUUGGAGCGAUUUUCUUAUUCAAGUUCAAAAUGGGUCAUAAAGCAGCAGAGACAAUGCACAACAUCAACACAUUUGGCCCAGGAACUGCUAACAAACAUCCAGUGCAGUGGUGGUUCAAGUUUUGCAAAGGAGAUGCGAGACUUGACGAUAACAAGCAUAAUGGAAGUUGGAAGUUGACAAGGACCAAUUGAGAGGAUCAUUGAAGCUGAUCCUCUCACAACUACAUGAGAAGUUGCCAAAGAACUCAACAUCGACCAUUCUACAGUCGUUUGGCAUUUGAAGCAAACUGGAAAGCUGAAAAGGCUUGGUAAGUGGGUGGUGCCCCAAGAGCUGAUCGAAAAAUCAAAAAUAUCAUUUUGAAUGCAACAACGAAUCAUUUCUCAUCAGACUGUGAUGUGUGACAGAAAGUGGAUUUUAUACGACCAGCUCAGUGGUUGGACCAAGAAGCUCCAAAGCACUUCCCAAAGCCAAACUUGCACCAAAAAAAGGUCAUGGUCAAUGUUUGGUGGUCUGCUGCCGCUCUGAUCCACUACAGCUUUCUGAAUCCUGGUGAAACUGUUACAUUUGAGAAGUAUGCUCGGCAAAUCAGUGAGAUGCACUGAAAACUGCAAUGCCUACAGACAACACUGGUCAGCAGGACGGGCCCAACUCUUCUCCACAGCAUCAGAUCGUACAUCUCACAAGUGAUGCUGCGAAAGCUGAGUGAAUCGGGCUGCGAAGCUUUGCCUCACCCACCAUGUUCACCCGACUUCUCGGCAACUGACUGCCACUUCCUUCAACCAUCUCAACAUCUUCUUGCAGGGAAAAUGCUUCCACAACCAGCAGGAGGCAGAAAAUGCUUUCCAAGAGUCAGUCGAAUCCCAAGGCACAAAUUUUUAUGCUAUGGGAAUAAACUAACUUAUAUCUCGUUGGCAAAAAUCUGUUGAUUGUAAUGAUUCCUAUUUUCAUCAAUAAAGAUGUGUUUGAGCCUAGUUACAAUGGUUCAAAAUUCAUGGUCCGAAACCUCAAUUAUUUUUUCACCAACUUAAUUGAGAGGUCAUGUAGAAGGAGGGUUGAAAAACAGCCACUGGAUUUAAACAACAUGGAACUCAAUAACAUGGAACUAUUUCUUUACAAUAUGAUUUAGUAUCAUUGUGGCAUAUUUCCCUUUAUGACAAUUUUGGGAAAAGUUCCUGUGUUUCCUUUGUUAAUUUUCCUUAUGAAUUUAAGGAUAACUGUAAAGUUCUAAAAUGAAAUUUUUCCUUUAUUUUUUGGCUGAAAUUUUUAUUAUGUCUAUGAACUUAAGAGAAUACACAUUUUUACAAUAAGUAGUCUUCUCUUUCAGAAACAAUGUAUUUCUUUAUUUGCAUAAAUUGACAAAUUUCAAUCACCUAACUGCAGUAAAUGUAUAGAUUGAAGUUGCUAUCUAGCUGUAUUAAGAUGCCUACCUGAGGAGGAAAGGGGACCUCUUACAAUAUUGGUGGGACUCAAAGUUGGUAUAGCCACUAUGGAAAACAGUAUUGAGUUUCCUCUGAAAACUAAAAUUACCAUACAAUCCAGCAAUUCCACUCUGAAGCAUACAUAUAUCCAGACAAAAUUCUUAAUUCAAAAUGAUACAUUCACCCCUAUGUUCACAGGAACACUACAGACAAUAGCCAAGACAUGGAAACAAUUUAAAUGUCCACUGACAGAUACAUGAAUCAGGAAGAUGUGAUUUAUUUAUAUAUAUAUAUAUAAAAUUUAUAAGUAAAAUGGACUACUACUCAGAUUAAUGAUAAUAAUGCCACUUGCAGUAACAUGGGUGCAACUAGAGAUUACCAUAAAAAGUAAAGUCAGAGAAAGACAAAUACCAUAUGAUACCACUUAUAUGUGGAAUCUAAAGUACGACACAAAUGAACCUAUCUAUGAAACAGAAAUAGACCCACAGGCAUGGAGAACAGACCUGGGGUUGCCAGGGGGGAGCGGGCUGGAGGGUGAGAUGGGAGGCUGGGGUUAGCUGAUGCAAGCAUUUAUACACAGAAUGGAUAAACACGCUCCCACUGGAGAGCACAAAGAACUAUAUUCACUGUCCCAUGAUAAGCCGUAAUGGAAAAGGAUAUUAAAAAGUAUAUGUAUGUUAAACACACACACACACACACACACUCCUCAAAUCAAGGGCUGUGCCACAUCUGAAAUUCAAGUUCUCCACAACGCAGCUGACUUUUGAAUGAAAGCGUGCAGUCUCCACUCACAAUCACCGAGCUGGCUGGGGGUACAGUGACUGCUCACUUCACGUCUGCUGGCUGGGACUGCUCUGCUACGCUGGAAGUGAGCCCGCUGUGUGUACACAUAC